UGCCGCCGCCCGGCGACUCAAGGGCGACUGAGCAUGCUCCGAACGCCUGUCAACGCUAUUCUGGAUACUUGCCCUGUAGCUCUGAGUGCUCCACUUCGUAUUUUAGUUGUGGCGAAGAGAGAAAGCCAAAAGGCAGGUAGAAAGAUCUGUUGUUCCAGAUCGGUCGUGACACGCUUUCUCCGAGGUAUUUUCGCGCCUAACUAGGAACCAGUUUAGAACAUGUUUUUUUGGAAAUGUUGGAAAGAAGAAGGGUUGGAAAUAAACGUUUGAGUAACUGCAAAGGUUGAGCCCCUUUGAUGUCUUUAAAGGUUAAAUUGCUACUUAGAGAAAAAGAAACUGUCCAGGGGAAUAAAGAAUGAAGCAUUACCGACCAUCUAGACAUCCUGCAGAACAUCAUAGUGAUCCAUUAUGUUGAUACCAUUAUAAUUAUCAGACUGGAUGAACAAGAGGUAGCAGCACACUGGAGUACUGGAUCCAUAUUCUUCAGUGGGAGAGAGAUUAACUCAGUGAAAUUCAGGAGCCUCCUACUUCUGUAAAAUUUUCAGAUAUCCAGUGGUUUUUAGAUAAUGGAAUAUCUCCUACAAAGUAAGUAUAACUUAUUACACUUUGCUUCACCCACCAUGAAAAAGAAAGCAUACAAAGGCAGUGAAAAAUGACCUGGCUGCUGGUCAGAUGCCUGGAAGGAAAUAGAUUGAAAGAUUAGGGACAACAGUGUCUGGAGUAGAGGUAUGUGGAUGGAUGUAGGGGAGUGGCCAUAAAAUGUGAAGAUGCAUAUACCACAUGUUAAUGCCCAACAGAGAGCAUCCACCACAGAAGAGUCACUAAACAACCAAUACUCAAAGUAACCAGUAUGUUGAUGUCAACCAGUUUCUGUCAUCUGCCACUCCAGUGCAUGUAUGAAGGACACAUAAAAUAAAUGGCCAUAAGACACAGAUGGAGGUUAUAGAUGGGACCAAAAGCAUGGACUCUGACUUAUCAAGGCUGGUCUAGGUGUUGCCUCUGCCAAGUAUUCAGUCUGCCAGCAGUAGGGACCAAUGCUGAGGCUUGAUGUGGCACCAUUCCUCACGCGGGCUGUGGUGGUUUGAAGCUGUGGGUGCUCCAGAAAGACAUGUUCUUGUAUUUAAUCCAUCCCUGUGGGUGUGGACCCAUUGUAAGUUGUACCUUUU